rnacentral:rRNA from 1 species
UUCCAGACUCCUACGGGAGGCAGCAGUGGGGAAUAUUGGGCAAUGGAGGAAACUCUUACCCAGCAAUGCCGCGUGAAUGAAGAAGGUCUUCGGAUUGUAAAGUUCUUUAAUUGGGGACGAAAAAAAUGACGGUACCCAAGGAAUAAGCCCCGGCUAACUACGUGCCAGCAGCCGCGGUAAUACGUAGGGGGCAAGCGUUGUUCGGAAUGACUGGGCGUAAAGGGUGCGUAGGCGGUGUAGCAAGUUAGAAGUGAAAUACCUAGAGCUUAACUCAGGUGCUGCUUCUAAAACUGCUAUACUUGAGUGCAGUAGAGGAAAGUGGAAUUCCUAGUGUAGCGGUGGAAUGCGUAGAUAUUAGGAGGAACAUCAGUGGCGAAGGCGGCCACCUGGACCGGUAUUGACGCUGAGGCGCGAAAGCGUGGGGAGCAAACAGGAUUAGAUACCCUAGUA